GUCUGCUGUUAGAUGCAGCAUAUUUAUAUAGAUGGUUUGUAUUAGGAGAGUAUAUUGGAAUGUUACUAAGUCAGCAGGGUCCUGGGAGGCCCGGGUCAGAGUUGAAGAGACAUAUGGCGGCAAAAGAGAGGUGUUUCUAUUUUUAUUUGUCCCUCUCCUAAAACCAUAUGAGGAAACUAAGGGUUUGACCAGAACAAGCUCGGUAUUUAAGGAGCUGUCUGUAUACGUUCGGGAGAGUUCUCUCAUUAUUCGGCUGGAGGCUCUCCAAGUAACUUGUUACUUGUUUACGAUACUGAACUUAUUGUAAUAAAUUUGUUAUACAACUAA